rnacentral:rRNA from 1 species
AGUGAACGCUGGCGGUAGGCCUAACACAUGCAAGUCGAACGGCAGCACAGGAGGGCUUGCUCUCUAGGUGGCGAGUGGCGGAGGGGUGAGGAAUACAUCGGACUCUGCUCAGUCGCUGGGGAUAACUCAGGGAAACUGAGGCUAAUACGGCAUACAUACUUCGGGGGAAGGAGGGGGAGCGCAAGACCGCUCGCGUUUCGCUGAGCCAGGGUCGGGUUAGCUAGUAGGUGGGGGAACGGCUAACCAAGGCGACGAUCCGUAGCUGGUCUGAGAGGAUGAUCAGCCACACUGGAACUGAGACACGGUCCAGACUCCUACGGGAGGCAGCAGUGGGGAAUAUUGGACAAUGGGCGCAAGCCUGAUCCAGCCAUACCGCGUGGGUGAAGAAGGUCUUCGGGUUGUAAAGCCCUUUUGUUGGGAAAGAAAUAAUUCAGGCUAAUACCCUGGGAGGAUGACGGUACCCAAAGAGUAAGCACCGGCUAACUUCGUG